UUGAUCCUGGCUCAGGACGAAGUCUGGCGGCGUGCUUAAUACAUGCAAGUCGAACGCGAAAGCACUCUUCGGAGUGCGAGUAGAGUGGCGAAUGGGUGAGUAACGCGUAGGUAAUGUACCCUCGAGAUUGAGAUAACCCCGGGAAACCGGGGCUAAUACCGAAUGAAGCAUGACCUGUGGGAUGGUGAUGUGAAAGUGGCGCAAGUCACGUUUGGGGAGCAGCCUGCGUCCUAUCAGCUUGUUGGCGGGGUAACGGCCCACCAAGGCGAAGACGGGUAGCUGAUCUGAGAGGAUGAUCAGCCACACUGGGACUGAGACACGGCCCAGACUCCUACGGGAGGCAGCAGUAGGGAAUAUUGCGCAAUGGGGGAAACCCUGACGCAGCGACGCCGCGUGAGCGAAGAAGGCUUUAUUAGUCGUAAAGCUCUGUAGGGAGGGAAGAACCGCAGGUGGUAACGCAUCUGUCUGACGGUACCUCCAAAGUAAGGACCGGCUAAAUACGUGCCAGCAGCCGCGGUAAUACGUAUGGUCCGAGCGUUGUCCGGAAUUACUGGGCAUAAAGGGUGCGUAGGCGGAUGUGUAAGUCAGGUGUGAAAGCCCUCGGCUCAACCGGGGAAUUGCGCUUGAAACUGCACGUCUAGAGCAUGUCAGAGGCAGGCGGAAUUCCCGGAGUAGCAGUGAAAUGCGUAGAUAUCGGGAAGAACACCGGUGGCGAAGGCGGCCUGCUGGGACAGUGCUGACGCUGAGGCACGAAAGCGUGGGGAGCGAACGGGAUUAGAUACCCCGGUAGUCCACGCCGUAAACGAUGGAUACUAGAUGUAGC
rnacentral:rRNA from 1 species